ensembl:lncRNA
CGCAGAGGGAAGGGGUGGCCUCCAGGCGCCUGCACCCCAAGCGUCACUGGCCUCAAUCAGGGGCCGGGCCGGGGUCUCCAAAGUCGCCACAGAACAGGCGCGGGAGCGCCCAGAGGCCACGGUCUCGGGAAAAGUCUCCGCUUCGGCUCCAGUGGGCUGCGACCCGCAAGGUUGCACAGGAAGGAAAUAAAAGAUUUCGGCUGAGAUUACACUCGAAAACACCAGGGAGCCCGGCUUCCACGCGCGGCAUUACUCUUCUGCCCCGAAAACCAGGAGAUUCAAAAGGAAAAGAAGUCCGGCUGUCGGCGGUCGUCAGAGGCUGGGAAGCAGUGCUGCUCACUGUCACCGACUCCUGGCUGGGAGCCCAGGGGCAAGGAGUCUCGUCUGGUGCCUUCUGCAGCCGCAUCAAGGUGGCCGACUGGCAGCUCCAGAGCCUUCAGAACCUUCCAGAGACCACAGAACUUGACCAGGUGACCUGUGGGGCCCCCAGGGGAGGCUGGCUAGAAGGAGGUGCCCCCUCGGCAAGUGUCCUGGGUGGGCAGGCCAGUCUGAAGAGCCUCUGCGGGGUCAGGGGAAACUUGAUGGGGGCCCUGAGCCCUGACACAUGGGAGGACCCCCCCAUAUGGGCAGCAGAGUGGAAGGUCAGCCUGAAGUGAGGGAGGGAGGGGCUCAGCUCAAGUCUCCAAACCCCCAAGAGUGGACACCUGGUGGACCUUGAAUCGGGUGGUGGGGGGAGGGGUGGGGGUUCCACCCACCCCUGUGUGCAGCCUCGGACACACCUGGACAGGUGCGAGGAGAGACCCCCAGGCUUCCAGGGCCUGGGGAGGAAGCAGGGGGAAGCAGAGGAUAAGGACCACCAGGCGUGAGGGCAAGGGGACAUGAGGGGAUGCAGCCAUAGCUGGCAGAGAGGGGGGCAGAGCUCAGGCCAGUCUGAGGGGGGUGGUCCAGGGAGCCAGAUGGUGGAGGCCAGAGGCCUGGCAAAAAUGUGUCCAGGGAAGUGUUCUGGGGGCUGCAGUGGGCCCAGGGUGGUGGGGUGGGGAUGGGGAAGAGACAACCCUGAGUUGAGCUGCAGGGUGAGCAGGAUGGGAGAGGGUCUGGGAGUGAGGGCUGUGAGGCUGGGCUGGAAGCUUCUGGAACACCUCCACAAUGCCUGGCCUCUGGGCAGGAUCUGAGAGAAACCAUGGGUGACCAGCAGGGUGCAGCAUGGUGGAUGGGGGCCCAGAGCAACCCAAGGACAGGAGGCCUCACAGGAGAACGGCUGCAGGCAGAGCCGCGCAGCAGGACUCAGACCUGACUGGGAGGCGAUGGCUUGCACAGUCCUCCUGCCCCCUGCUGGCCAUCCUGUCACUCGCCCCACGGCCCCCUGGAGGCCAGACGCCUGGAUGCUGGAGCCUGCAACGGAGGGCCUAGAAGGAGGCCAGUGUCGGCACCACACGUGGAAGAUUCUGGAAACUCAACCCCUUGCUGGCCUCACAACAUACAGAGCCCCACACAGCCACCCUCCUUGUUGGCAGUCACCGCGGACCCUGAGGACAGCAGAGGCAGAUGGCCUGGGGGCUCCCGGCCUGCUCUGAGCUGGGGCCUUCCCUGACCUCUCUCACCUCGUGGCCCUCACCUGGACCAGGUAUGGUGCCGGCUCCGCCCUGCUCCCCAGCUGGGCCACCUGGGCUCACAGGCAGGCAGCCCGGCAGCAGCCUCCCAAGUGACAGUGCUUUAGGGCCAACCAGUGGGCCGGGAGGUCACCUGUGCACAGUCCUGUUUUCUCCUCUUUCCUUUCCACGGAGACUCCAGCUGCUCCCUGGACCCGCCCUUGGGCCACACUUGCCAGUUGUCCCAGCGUCCAGCCUUCUCUAGGGCUCACAGGGCCUCAGGAGGCGGUCCCAGGAGGAGGCUGGACCGUGCUCUGCUCCCAAGUGGCCCUGGACCACUGCCCCCCUGUCUCCUCCAUCAGUUCAGGCCCCUUCUGCUACGCGAGGUCCCAGCCUCCUUCCCUCCAGGGGUCCUGAAGCCACUCUAGGAUGACAUCUGUGGUGCAGGCACCAGUAGGGGGGUGGCCAG